rnacentral:lncRNA from 1 species
UUGACAGAACUUCUAGUUAGUUUACUGACUUGUUUAAAAAAAAAAAAAAAAAAAGAACAGGUCUUGCAGGGACAGGGUUGGACAGCUACAUGGAAAAAGUUAUCUGGAGCCCUGCUGCCGCAGGAGGAAUGCAGAAAGGCCAUGUGCUCCUCGACCGCCCGCCCGCCCGCCUGCCCGCCCGAAGCACUGGCCUUCCCUCAUCAAAGUCUGAGGUUGACUGUGAGGUUUAUGAACAUUCCCUCUAGAAGCUUGAGGAUUCUUUCUGUGGACUGCAGACUCCCAGAAGAGGCAUUUCAAGGGACAGGAGGGUUCCAAACUCCAAGCCUUCCUCAGAACAGUGUCAUCUCAGAGAUGCAUUUAUGAAAUAAGUUUCAAAGAUGCUAAAGAAGAAAAGGAGGAGGAAGAGGAGGAGAAGGAUGCAUUUUGGAGCUAGUGUUGUCCAUUUUGCUUAUCAAGACCUGUGAGCUCCCGAGGUCUGUAAGUGUCCACUCUGUACCCCAGCCACACCUCUGCCACCGAGUCCAGCCUUUUACACGGAGUGCUGGGGACCUGAGCUUGUGCCACGAGUGCUUUUCCCAUGGGACCAUCUCCCUUUUUCACACUAAGCAGCAGAAGAGCCAAAUGCAAUCAUCGUCGUGACAGAGGGUUGUUCUACUGGCAGGGAGAAGGGGUCCUCAAAGGUGACAAAAAGGAAGGGAAACCCUCCAGAGGCCUUGGCCACUUGACUUAGGAGGAGUUGUCUGUCACUGGUCCUGGCUCUUGGAGGAGGCAGUCAGAACCAGGAUGCACAGCCUGACAAGGAAGAUUUCGAGAGGGGGAGGAGCCAGGCAACUGGAGCCUGUCUGUUGUUGAGAGUGUGGCCAGCAGCUAGAUGAAGGCAGUGAUGAGGCAGCCCUGGUUGGGGUCCCUCCGGGGGUCCCUCUUGCAUAGUCUCAGCUUUCCUUCUGUAUCUUCCGAGAAAGUGGCAAGAGACUGCUGGAUUCUGUCACUGCUCAAUGUUUUCAGCCAACAGAAGUCUGCUGUCAGCGUGGCAACAGCUCCUGUGGGCUCCCCAAGGUGUUGCUGUUGGUGAGGUCUCCUUUUGAUUCUUGGACUGGAAGGAUGUUCUCAUGAACAGUUCAGACAGGAGCAGAGGAUGGGAAACGUGCUGCUCGACGCUCAGAAUUCUCUCCCAUCGGAUUCCUCAAAAUGUCAAAGAGAAGAAAUCCUGUGCCCAGUGCGAUGGAAUCUAAAUCAUGAUUUAAUGUCAGGGACUGAUGUCAAUCUUCAGGCCCCUGUGAUGCUUAAACAUGCUGACCUCAUUCCCUUCUCUCUCAGCGAAUGGCAAACUGACAAUUGAUGCUUCCACAAAGUUGCUGGUUGGAAACGGUCUGCCUUUUUUUCUUAGAGUGUGCCUCGUCUUCUCUCCCUCUGCUUUGUAUGACAGGGGACAUGAAAAUGUAAAAAGAAAAACUGAAAAAAAA